UGGCCAACAGAGGGUACCCUUUCAUUUCUUUUCUCCUUCUCCCCAGAAAGCUUGCCUUCUCAAGACUGCCUCAUCAAGUUCUGCAUGUGUUUAAAUGUGUCUCUCCCCCACCCUUUCUUCCUCUCCCGAUUUAACAGAAUUAUUUGUCAGCAUUUGCAUACCGUGAGUUUUCUUUUUCAGGGAGAUAUUUUAGUUCUGUCUCAGGCUCUCCAUUCUUCUCUCUUCUUUGCAUCUCUCUUCCUAUCUGGAUCCCUCUUUGCUGUUCUUAAAGAGCUGGACGAGAGGUUGAGAAACAUCUCUACCAGAAAUUGAUGUUUUUCUACUUCCAGAGGUCAAUCAGAAUCAAGAUGUCUGGGACUGAGGGAGCAAUUCUUGGAGGGCGUGACAGCCAUCCUGCUGCUGGCGGCAGCUCGGUGUUAUGCUUUGGACAGCACCAGUACACAGCAGAAGAGUACCAGGCCAUCCAGAAGGCCCUGAGGCAGAGGCUGGGCCCAGAAUAUAUAAGUAGCCGCAUGGCUGGAGGAGGCCAGAAGGUGUGUUACAUUGAGGGUCAUCGGGUAAUUAAUCUGGCCAAUGAGAUGUUUGGUUACAAUGGCUGGGCACACUCCAUCACGCAACAGAAUGUGGAUUUUGUUGACCUGAACAAUGGCAAGUUCUACGUGGGAGUUUGUGCAUUUGUGAGGGUCCAGCUGAAGGAUGGUUCAUAUCAUGAAGACGUUGGUUAUGGUGUUAGUGAGGGCCUCAAGUCCAAGGCCUUAUCUUUGGAGAAGGCAAGGAAGGAGGCAGUCACAGACGGGCUGAAGCGAGCCCUCAGGAGUUUUGGGAAUGCACUUGGAAACUGUAUUCUGGACAAAGACUACCUGAGGUCACUGAAUAAGCUUCCACGUCAGGUGCCUCUUGAAGUGGAUUUAACUAAAGCGAAGAGACAAGAUUUUGAACCGACUGUGGAAGAGGCAAGAUACAACAGUUGCCGACCGAACGUGGCCCUGGGACACCCACAACUACAGGAGGUGACCUCCCCUUCUAGACCAAGCCACGCUGUGAUACAGGGGAACAAGGACUGCAGCUCCCGACGCCUGACCUCAUCUGCUGUGGAGAGCGAGGCCUCGUACCAGCGGAAGCUCCGGCAAAAGCAGCUGCAGCAGCAGUUCCGGGAGCAGAUGGAGAAGCAGCAAGUCCACGUGUCCACCCCUCCAGCUGAGAAGAGUGAGGCUGCGCCUCCGGUCCCUCCUCUGACACACAGCACUCCCGUAACUGCGGUCUCAGAACCACUCCUGGAGAAAGACUUCCUUGCAGGAAUGACUCAAGAAUUAAUCAGUAAAUACCUUGAAAUGCUUAGACUCUUGAAGACAACUCUUUAAAGUGGGCUAUGACUCCAGAUGCAGGGGAUGGUGUGGUCAAGCCCUUGUCUAGAGCAGACCCACCCCAGACCUCUGACACACUAGCCUUGAACAACCAGACGGUGACCCAGGACAGGACUCCACACAGCCUUUGCCACCAGAAACCACAAGCGAAAUCUGGACCUUCGGACCUUCAGACGUAUAGCACUGACCAGUGCAUAACAGGAAACUGGGAAUCUCACAGGAAGAGCCAGGACAUGAAGAAAAGGAAGUAUGAUCCAUCUUAACUGAGGCUCAGGCCACAUGAUUGGACCUUGUCACAAAGGGACUUUGGAAAACUACAUUUUUGUCAUGAAAUCGUUCAUCACUCCUGGAGAAUGAACUUUACUGCUAAGGAUUUAUCUUGCUUCAUUCUGAACCUUCUCAAGAGGAUCUGACUGAGAGCCUACUGCAGUUAGAGCUGAGCACUUUUAAAAAGCUUGUCCCCGACUGGGCUAGGUGGCUCAUGCCUGUAAUCCCAGCACUUUGGGAGGCCGAGGCAGGUGGAUCACCAGGUCAGGAGUUCAAGACCAGCCUAGCGAAGAUGGUGA